AUCUCUCUGAAGAUUCCUGUGUACUUGAAGUGUUCCUAGAGUGCAGGCAAAAAUUGAGUACUAGAAGCACAGCAAAAGAGGACAAAUAGCAGAAGGGCUGGCAGGAGGCCCCACAACAGCUGCUGGGAGGAAAACCCAGGAUUGCUCACAGCACACGUGGUCUGAUUCUUCCUCGUCAGCGUAUUGUUGUUCUCUCUCCAGAGAAUUACAAUACAGACACAAGAAAAUUAAUUCCUGUCAUAGAAGGAGACAAGAAUUAUGAGGAACAAAAUGGGGGCUUGAUUUUUCUACUGACUGAACUUCAAAAUUGAUUAUUUCUGAAGUUUGUCUGAAGUUGUCCAAGAUGAACCACAGUAAUUAUUUUUAUGCUAGGAUGACUGCUGCUCUGAUAACUGAGAGAAACGAAGACUUCUAAAUCUAAAAAAGUGAAAUAUUGUUAUUGUUUCCGAAAACCAAUUUAAUUUUGCAUGCACUCUUUUCUUCUUUAGAAUAAACAACAACAAAAUCAUUAAAUAGUACAGGAAGAGUUUCUAUUGCCUUACCUAUCCCCUUCAACAAAUCUUUAAUGCGAAGUCAUAAAUUAGUAAUUGUUCAAGUGAAAGGGGAUGCAGACCAACUCACAGUUAUUUUUCUCAUGUUUUCCUCAGAGUACAAAGGUAACAGAUAUAUGGCUAUUUAGAUUUAGAGAGGACCCAUAAGGCAGUUUUACUGUUUCCCUCUGCUAAGUCACAUAUUGUUCCCAAAAGGCUGAGGAUUUUGUUGGUAUUUGAGAGAAAGGCAGAUAUCUCACGGUUUCACAUAUUGUCCACGUUAUUAACUUUGUGAUAGAUAAAGCUAUUCACAUUUUAGCUUAUUAUUCAAAUAUGUUUCAAAAUGGCAAAGCUUAGACAGGCAUUUGGAGAAGUUCCAGACUUUUGCUUCUGUUGAAAUCAACAGUAAAACAGAUUAACUUCAACUGGAGCAAGACUAAAGCAUUACGAGGUAAUUGUUAGAAUAAAAACAAUGUCACAGAAAUGUGCAGCUUGUUAAACUUAGAAAGUCUUUAUAUGAAAAUAGAGUUGCCCUGUAGUGCACAGUUUUGAAAUAACACUCUUAAAUGGGUCAAGAAAUACUGUUCUGAGUUGUAAUAUUGUUUCAUUCCAGAAAGCUUCAAAUGUGAUGAUUCUCUGAUUUUAUCUAAAUGUGAAAAACUAUCUCAUAUAUAACAGUAUUCCAAAGUAACAAACUCAAGACAUUAAUGUUGUCUAUAAAAAAAAUUAAAAAAGGAAAUAUACAUAUGUUAAUAAAGGUGAGGCAUUACUCUGUUUUGCAGUCUUUGAGUUCAUAGAAAUAACUGCAGUGAAGUAUUUCAUGUAAACUAUUUUAUCUCAGAUAGAAUGUGAGCAUGUGCAAUGAAGAAUAUUUAUAAAGAACUGAUAUCCAACAGCUUCUUAGAGAUUCCUUAUGCAUUUCCUAAAUACUGACUAUAACAUAAUGUAUUUAGCAAUACCAUGAUUAUUGGCUGUAAUAAGGUUCAUUAUAAACAUAAGGUAUAAGCACAGAGGAAAUAGUCACAAGCUAUCAUGAUGUUGGAACUCAGUCACAGCUUUUAGGAAUGUGUUUAUUUUAUCGAAGGACAAGAUUCUGGGAAAAGCUGCCUGGCUUCUUUUUAAGACAGCUGCUGAUACAUUAUUGGUUGACUAAUUAGCAGGCUUUAUGAGUUUUGUUGUUUUUUUUCCCCCUGUUGAAUAAAAAAA
rnacentral:lncRNA from 1 species